UCUCUCUCUCUCUCUCUCUCUCUCUCUAAUUCUCUCUCCUGAACUCUCCCUCUGAAAUUCGGAUAAAUACCAUAAUAAGUCCCAUAGUCAUCGGUGCACAGCAGAGGGGGCCGUCUUUUGCUCUGUCGCACUCUCUCUCUCUUGUUUGUGUGCUGCUCUCUCUCUAACUCUUUGUAUUUGUGUUGCUUUCUCUCUCUUUCGUAACAGACAUUUGGCUGAUUUCUUAUGAAAUUCGGUUCGACACAUUGUUGUAGCCAUGGAAAUAGAGUGGUGAUGUUGCAGAUGCAUUUCCAUUUUGUUAGUAGGGUAGGAUUUUGGUUUCAAGGUUUAACAUUCUGUUACAGUACUGAUGUUCCACGCUAGCAACAAUAUUGUUGCUAGGAUUUUUUCUCGUCAGAUUUCGUCUCCCCGCUCAGGCACAAGCGUACACAGGUCCAGACAAUUUUAUGAGAACUUGGUCCCAAGUUAUACCAUCUAUGAUGUUGAUUGUCCAGACUAUUCCUUCCGUAAAUUCACUGAUGAUGGCCAGUAUUUGAUAAGUUUCAGUAGGAAUAAUCAGGAAUUGAUAGUUUAUCGACCAACAUGGUUGUCAUAUUCAUGCAAGGGAGAUGAUUGUGAAUCACAUGGUCUGCCCCCUGAAGCAAAGAGGUUUGAGAGCUAUUUCACCCAGCUCUAUUGCAUCAACCUUGCAUCUGGAAAUGAGUCGAUUAGCAAAGACUUUUUUCUAUAUAUGGAAAGCAACCACUUUGGUGUAUUUGCCACUUCAACUUCCCAGAUUCUUGAUGCACCUGUCACUGAAGGAGCAAUUCAUGGAGUCCCCGUAAUAGAGAAGAUAACACUUCACCUUGUGAGAAUGGAAGAUGGUGUCAUCAUGGAUGAGAGGACUUUCCGCAAUGACUUUGUCAAUUUGGCCCAUAACUCUGGGGUUUUUCUGUAUGAUGAUUUGUUGUCGAUCAUGUCUAUCCGUUACCAAAUGAUAUAUAUUCUCCAAAUUCGAGCAUCUGGCCAUCUUGUGGAUGUGCGGGCAAUUGGACAGUUUUGUCAAGAGGAUGAUGAACUUUUCCUGAACUCUCAUACUCAGGGAUUUGUACCCUUAGACAAAGGUAAACAAGAAGAGUCUUCCAUUUGUCAGGAUAAUAGUUCUAUGCAACUUGAUCAGCCUACGCAAGGGGGUGCUUUCUUGAGUGGUAUCAAACAGCGCUUGCUUUCAUUUAUUUUUCGAGGAAUAUGGAAUGAAGAAACAGAUCAUUCUCUGAGGGUUCAACGGCUUAAGAAGAGGUUUUAUUUCCAUUUCCAAGAUUAUGUUGACCUGGUUAUGUGGAAGGUACAGUUCCUCGACCACCAUCAUCUUCUAAUCAGGUUUUGUAGUGUAGAUGGAGGGAUGUCUCGGAAUACCGAUCAAUAUCGUGCUUUUUUUGCUGUGUAUAACAUGGAGACGACUGAGAUACUUGCAUUUUACCAGAAUUCUGCAGAAGAACUUUUCCAUUUGUUUGAGCAGUAUUGUGAUCACUUCCGUGCGCCAUCCAGAAGUCCAUUAUAUAUGAAUUUCAUAUCGUCCCACUCAAAUAAUAUCCAUGCUCUUGAACAACUAAGGAAGCAAAAGGAUGCAUGUCUGAAAAACAAAGCCACUAAUUUUUCUCAGCUUGUUAAGAAGACGUUGGCAUUUCUGCCUUUCCACUGCCAGUCUCAGAGCCCUUCGCCAUAUUUUGAUCAGUCACUUUUCCGCUUUGAUGAGAAGCCUGUAUGAUUCACUGAAGUUGUGGAUUAAUUCUGGGAUCUCUAUGAUGACCUUGCAGCUGAUAUCCUCAACAGAAAGACAUAGGCCCUCAACUGAACAUCCUAUCAAGUUUAUUUCGAAGAGGCACCCUUACUCCCUCAAGUUCAAGAUAAAACCAGGCCCUGAGGCAGGUGGUGUAGAUGGUCGUUCCAAGAGAUUGUCCUGCUUCCUCUUUCACCCUGUAUUGCCAUUUGCCAUUUCGAUUCAGCAGACACUGCAACCAUCUGUCAUAAAUAUCCAUUCUGUUAUGAAUAUUCAUUUUCGGAAAUGAAUAUAAUACAUUGAGACCAUUUUUUUUGUUCUGUUAUAGCAUCAUAUGAAAGAUAUGGUCAGUUUCCAGGGUAUUUGAUGUUAUGCAACUUUUGAAUUUCUCAUCUGAAAGUAUUGCUAUGGUCGAAAUGAUCAUGGGAGAUAAUUAUGGUCCGUUAUGGUUGACCAUCUGUUGAAACAAUGAACAGUGAUGAAAAGAGUGAUAUCCACAAGUUCUAGCCGUGUC